GUCUAUGGCCAUGUCACCCUGAACAAGCCCGAUGUCUGAUCUUGGAAGCUAAGCAGGGUCAGGCCUGGUUAGUACUUGGAUGGGAGAUCAUCUAGGAAGACCAGGUGCUAUAGGCA
rnacentral:rRNA from 1 species